UCCGUUAUUGAUUAUGACAUUUAUUUGCCAUGUCAGUAUCGCAACCACGUCAAUUCGUGCUAAUCGACCCAAACAAAUCAUUUUCGUUCAGAAAAUAGUACCCAAGACGGAUUCGUAUCUAGUUCAUCAUAAACAUAGUUUCAGACUGGCCAGAAUAUUAUAUGAAGACUUGUACUAACGAGUAAAAAACAUUUUGAAUAGAUCUAACCACACAAUACAUAUAUGGCCAUAUAUAAAACUAUGUUUUGACGAGGCUAAUCUUUCUCAAAUUUGAUAAUUCAAUCGGUGGUUACACAUAAAAGUUAAUAGUUCGAAACUCAACAUGACUUUUUGAUUGAUGCACGUUACAUGAUAUGCAGCGAUAUAGAUCUGACUAGAUGUGGUGGAUAUAGAGUUCAUCUUUAUCCAUACAAAAACAAUAGCAUUUAUGAUGAAUGAGUAAUAUCUAUAUAUCUGAAAUAAAUUUAAGAUAUGAUAUAUGUGAAUCACAAAAUAACGAAAAUGAAAAAGAUAGUUUCAGGAUAAAAAGGUUUGCGGUUUGCUUACCGAGCCACUGCCAACUAACAAUAUCUGUUUAUAUACAUUCCCCUGUUCAUAUGCUCGUAUAUGCAUGCACAUCUCUUCAUAUAAAGCC
rnacentral:lncRNA from 1 species